rnacentral:rRNA from 1 species
UACGUAGGGUGCAAGCGUUGUCCGGAAUUAUUGGGCGUAAAGAGCUCGUAGGCGGUUUGUUGCGUCGGCUGUGAAAUCCCGAGGCUCAACCUCGGGUCUGCAGUCGAUACGAGCAAACUAGAGUGUUGCAGGGGAGACUGGAAUUCCUGGUGUAGCGGUGAAAUGCGCAGAUAUCAGGAGGAACACCGGUGGCGAAGGCGGGUCUCUGGGCAACAACUGACACUCAGGGACGAAAGCUAGGGGAGCGAAUGGG